ACUUGCAGCAAGAAACUAGCACGCGGCUGGUUUACUUUUCAUUUCUAAUCUCUAGUGUCUGUUUGGUUUUUUUUGUUGGUUUUUUUUUGUUUUUAUCAUUUGAUUUCUUUGCCCUCACAUUUAUGUAAAUCUUGAGGCAAAGGAGUUAAAAAGAGGUUCUUAUUUUAUACCUGAAAUGAACUUUCACUGGACAUUUUUUUCUCAAGCUUUGUAAUUAAGAUUGGAGAUCUUGUGGGUAUUUUAAUACGUACUAAAAUAUGUCCAAAUAGCCCAAGGCAAAGGGAAUGACCAACUGUGUAGCUGAUGAAUAUUUUCCUGGUAGAUGUACAACAACUUUCCCCACAACCGUGAUGCUUUAUCCUUUGACAUUAAGAAUGCUGUUUGCAGAAGCAACAUUCCUUUGAACACGCAGCUUUCUGAAAUGGUGUCCCGCCGCAAGGACUCAAGUAGGUGUGCCUUGCAAUGACAGAAGACAGCAUGAUGAGGGGAAGUUAAAGAAGUAAGAAAAUUGGAAUUUAGAAUGUCAACAUCUUGAGACUAGAAGCCCCACGCGAGCAGAGAUGUCUGUCUUCCUUGUUCAGUGGUACACCUCAAGUGCCUGGAAUAUUGCCUCAAAAGCACUCAUACUCAGCAAAAGAGACUAAGAGGCCCUGUGACUCCUGGAUUCAUCAGGGAGAAGAGAUUUCGGUUGGUUCCUUAAACAGAAAUGAGAACGGAGUCCACUCCCGUCGAGAAUGUGCUGGGUUCCCCCUUCGCCCAGAGAGCACCAGCUCUGAGUCUCAGAUCAUCUGACUGUCCCGCCCAGUACCCCUCCAUGUUGCAGGUUUUUACAGAUGCCCUGGGUGCCUCUCUCUCAUUACUUAAAGGUUUAAUUUAAACCACGGAUAAUUUCUGCAGAAGGCCAUUGCAUCACAAGAUAAAUGGAACCAUGGGUCACUAAUUGGAGACAGUGAUCAACAGAGCUACGUAUCCAAAAACAUCAACAUUAUUAUGAACAAUAAAUAUAUACUGUAUUAA